AAUUAUUAUACAUAAGCUUUCUUUUCAUUCCCUCCAUAUAUCCCUUUGCAUGCAUCGCUGCUGCUUCACUGUCUGUGGGCUUCUCUACAUUCAAGCCUCCAACAGGUUAUUUAAGGUUACAAUUCUUAAUCUAAAGUUCUGUUUCAUUGUGGCAGAAGCCGUCUUGUGCUGAUACUGGAUUUAGCUGCAAACCCAGGCUCUUCGGUGCUGGUCACUUCCCUCAAGGGACAUGUAACCUCUGCAGAAAAUACAUUCUGCCAGGGAUUGCUGUGGCACCAGAACAGAGGGAAGUCGGUUCGCCAGCCAUAGGGAGGCUGCCAAUAGGGAGAACAAGAGGCUGCCUUCCUCGCAGCGUCCUGCCAGGUAAAUGCUGUUGAACUGCCAUGGAGAUGUGGGGUGGGGCACAGCCCUCACACUUACCUUGCUAGCAAUCACCAAAUUCACCAGGCCUGUUGCUGACUGAAUGAGAGAUUCAGCCUCUUUGCUGGGCUGGUCUUCACUACGAGGAGAUGGAUGCUGCUGCAAUCGAUGCAACAGGGAUCAAUUUAGUGGGUCAAGUGAAGACCCGCUAAAUCAACCGCAGAGCCCUCUCUGGUCAACCCCGGUACUCCAGUUCUUCAAGAAGACUAAGGGAAGUCGACUGGAGAGCGCCUCCCAUCGAAGCAGUGCAGUGAAGACACCGGGGUAAGUUGA